UGCAAGUCGAACGAGAGGCUCUUAGCUUGCUUUGAGUCUCUAGUGGCGGACGGGUGAGUAACACGUGAGUCACCUGCCCGGAAGACGGGGAUAGCCCGGGGAAACUCGGAUUAAUACCCGAUGUGAUCGCAGGAUUAAAGGUGCCUUCGGGUGCCACUUCCGGAUGGGCUCGCGGCCUAUCAGCUUGUUGGUGAGGUAACGGCUUACCAAGGCUACGACGGGUAGCUGGUCUGAGAGGAUGAUCAGCCACACUGGAACUGAGACACGGUCCAGACACCUACGGGUGGCAGCAGUCGAGAAUCAUUCGCAAUGGGCGAAAGCCUGACGGUGCGACGCCGCGUGGAGGAUGACGGCCCUAGGGUUGUAAACUCCUGUCAUCAGAGAGUAAAGCUCAGUCGUUAAUAGCGGCUUGAGCCUGAUAGUAUCUGAAGAGGAAGGGGCGGCUAACUCCGUGCCAGCAGCCGCGGUAACACGGAGGCCCCAAGCGUUGUUCGGAUUUACUGGGCGUAAAGGGUGCGUAGGCGGCGGGGUAAGUCAGAUGUGAAAGCCCGAGGCUCAACCUCGGAACUGCAUCCGAUACUGCCUUGCUAGAGGAUUGGAGAGGAGACUGGAAUUCACGGUGUAGCAGUGAAAUGCGUGGAUAUCGUGAGGAAGGCCAAUGGCGAAGGCAGGUCUCUGGACAAUUCCUGACGCUGAGGCACGAAGGCCAGGGGAGCGAAAAGGAUUAGAUACCCUUGUAGUCCUGGCAGUAAACGGUGUGCGCUUGGUGUGGGAGGAUUCGACCCCUUCCGUGCCGGAGCUAACGCGUUAAGCGCACCGCCUGGGAGUACGGCCGCAAGGCUAAAACUCAAAGAAAUUGACGGGGACCCGCACAAG
rnacentral:rRNA from 1 species